AGAAGAAGUGUUGAUUUCUCUCCUGGGAGAGAGUAAGGGUAAAGUUGAAGUUUGUGUUUGUUGCUGUUGCACCAGAAAUGAAACCUAGCACUUUCCCCAGGGGCCCCUGGCUGCGGGGUCCCAGCUUAGAGUCUGAACUAGGAGAAUGUGUUGGCUCAGAUCAGCUUCUAGAAGAUGAAUAACAAAGCAACUAGACUUCUGUUUAUUGUAAAGCAGGUUUUCACUCUCUGUGUUGGCUUCCCCCCUGCACGCACCUCGUAGGCAUCGCAGGCUGCUGCUUAAAUUAGCCUCCAUUUUCUACUGCAGAGCAGAUUCCUUUUCUUGUGCAAUGAGAUCCUCCUUCCUUUAUCUCUCUUAUGGCCCUUGUUCCUCUGUCCCCCUGACAAGUCGAAGACCUUUCAAAUUACCUACUCAUAAGCAGCUGCGUACAAGGUUUUGAAGCUGUGCAGUGAGGGCUUUAGUUACACGUGAACUUCUGCCGUGAGUUUUGAAAUGCUCCUUUAUCCCCAUAUGCACUUUCUUUCCCAUAAUGCUUUUGCCCAUAUCACCGAGCUCCUUUUGUAUUCUUGGAGUUGUGUAUUCCUCUUCAUGUUUUACUUAGAUCGUGGGGUGGGGUAGGAUGGGGAGGGGAACAAGUAUUAUCUCAUAGUCUUCAGGUUGGGGAUGUGGGGACCAUUCAGAGGGGAGUAGUUCUGCAUCCAGAGUAAUGAUUAAAAACGGGAGGAUUUAAGAUAAGGUAAUAAUUUGUGCCUCGUCCCCCUGCCAAAAAUGUCAAUUUCCUGGCCCUGUUGAGAUGAGCAAUAGGAAAUGGAGCAAGACUCCCCAUAAGUAGCGUAGAGGCUGCGACGCGUACCCGCGGAGCUGUGGUACCCAUGAAACAAAAGAGCAGGGAGAUGGUGGCAGUGUAACAUAAGAUGAUGCUUUUCUAAGCUAGAGCUUUACUGAAGAUGUAUUUUCCAUUUGGGCAGUGCAAGGCAUUUGCUGCCUUAUAGCAGAACUCUUAAGCCAACACUUCUGUAUGAUAUAUACAUACAUAGGCAUAGGAAAAGUUGUGUUUAAUAAGAUAUUUUGUUAUAAAACAAAGUUUUAUGAAGAUAUGGUUGUUUAAUAUUAGAAGCCUAUUUCUCCCCUUGACCUCCAGUUUAAGUAAGUUAUCUCUCAGCUGCUGCAGUGUCAGAGGUAAGCGAUGGGGAUGCAAAAGUGUCUCUGACCUAAUUCUAUAGAGCAGUCAUUACCUAUAUGGGUAUGUUUAUGGUAUUGUAACUGGUAUUAACGAGAUGCUGUAACUAUUGACCAACAUCCUCAGCACAAUUGAAUGUCUCGGUUUCAGAAAAGGAAGUAAACACCAUUAAAGAGUGGAAUGGGAUGUUAAAGAAGUUCCAAGUAUGUCCUUUUAAGUUUGUUCACCCACAGAAGUUUAGCCCGUCCAUGGAGGGAACAGUGCUGUCACUGUGCCAGCUCGGAACUGGUAGUACAUCGUGCUUUUAGUUAUGGUGGACCUGAUGGCAGCUGGAAGGUGGAAAAGAGAACACCUACUGGCAUACAAGGUGACAAGUGCCAUGGAGCUGGCAGGGAUUUGGUGCUAAGGCCCAAACCGGUUGCCCUGGUCUGUUCAGGUCAGUAAAAGUCACGGUGUGAAUACCACUGCCUUGUCACUUUGUCAGGGGAAGGUUGUUUCUGGAUGACGUUCUCAAGCCAUUCACAUUCUGUGUGGCCAGCAGAGCACUCGUGGGCUGGAAACCAAAUAUCUUGGGUUGCUUCCUGCAAAGAAAGAGUCAUGUCCAAAUCCAGGGACAGUUUAUGCGUCCAGAUGGGUGCCUUUGAAAAGUGGGGCCAAAUGGCAUGUAAGUGAUGUGGCAAAAUACCCCAAGUUUGAUCACUUUCCUUUAGUAAUAUCUUCAGGGAAAAGGUCUUGUAUGUGUGCCAUGUUACUGCUUAAGAGGGGACCGUGUCAUUGGGAGAGAGGGAGGCCUCUGAGUGAGAGAGGAGGUUUAGGGCUGAGGGUGGGUGCCAACAAUCUGGGACGGUCCUGAGCUGGCAGGAGGCUUGAUUUAAAUCAGUGCGAUGUCCUGAGGGGCUGUGACCUGGUGGUGUUGGCAUAUACCUGCUUUAGCAAAAGGUCCCUGGGUCUGUCCCGUUCCUUUGAGAACACACAAUAGAUUUGCAGGCUUCUCUAGCUUUUGUUUCCUUCUAUCCGAGGGCUACUUCUGUCAAGAACUGUUCUGUUGUUUGUGCUAGUUCAUGCAUAGCAGUGGGCAAAGCACCUGGUUCGGAAGGAAUUAGGUGACAGCUAUAUACCAAAGUGUCGCACGGCUCCUUGUGUCGAGAGUAGAUGCUGUGCUGUUGUGUUUUUGGAUACGUUCCUAUUGACUAUCCAUGUUUUGACCAGAUGUUUCAGGCGCGAUCGCUUAACUGGCGAUGUGAUGAAUAUGCAUGGCGCGACGACUGUCCUCUGCUUCCUCGGUGGGAUUUGUAACCCCCAUUACUGGGAGUUGCACACAUUCCGGUGGCAGAUAAUUGUGUGGCCCGUGGUGGCUCGGAGGAACUGAGCCGAAUGGUGCUCGUUGCUUCUGGGGAUAGGCUCUUGGUUUGCCCUCGCCUACUCGGGUCUGUAAUCUGACGAAGGCGACUUGGCGGCUCUGCCUCCGUCGGUUGCUGUUCUUGCUUGUAAAUGAGAUUCUGUAGGUUCUGUUCGUGUGUGGAGUUGAAAAUGCAAACGAGGUGCUGAAAGCAGCCCAGAGGCUGAAAUAUGUAUUCCUGGCAGCUGUGCCUCCCUCAUUUGAAUGUGGCACUUCUGUAGGUGGUAGAGAGACGCCUUCCCCAGAGCAGCGUUCGAAGGGCUUUAGCCAUCGCGGGCCUUUGCCUCUGUGAUUGCUUUUCUGCAGUUACUGGAAACUUCAGAUGUAAUUUAAACAUGAAGGUCUAUCCCUGCUCCCUAUUAAUGAUGCAUCCAUAUGUAAUUUUAAAGACAAAAGGAAGAACUGUAAGUCCAGCUCGUUUUUUAUUCUGGUUUCUCUCACAGGGGAUAUACUUCCUGCUCCCACAGUUUGCCUUUGGUUUGCUCGCAGACUUAGCAGUGGAAUUCAGGCCAAAUAGGGAAUUGGUUUGGAUCAGUUCAAUAAACUUAUGUAAGUUUUUACACAAAACCAAGUGUCCCAAGUUUUGCACUUCUGUGUUCCUUGAAGCAAAACCUUUCCUUCCCUCUCACCUGUAUGUUUAACACACACCUUUGGCAGGCUGAAAGCUGCUGACAUCUCUUUGUUCUGCUGACUGUUUGUGCCUCCUGUCUGCUCGGUGAGCUUGGGCAGAGCCACCUCAUUGUGCAACGUGUGCUUCUUGAAUGGAGAAGUCACGAUGUUGGAAGACCUAGUCCUCUUCUGGACUGUAUUCCUCCAUGGCAGUUGCUCAUCUUCACUCCAGGUGAUGAAGAAGGCUUGAGCUUGCUCUCUCUUACCUGCUCCAUGUCCUGGGUGGAACUGGCCUUAGGGUUAAAACAAGCUUCACCCUCAAGAAAAGGUUUAUGGGUGCUGAUGGGGAGGGCAGCAUGGCCCACUAAAGCAGGGGUCAUCAGCUAAGCCCAUGCUGGCCUGCACCAGCAGACCCUGGGGAUUCUGGAUGGGAUGCAGUCUUCCCUGGAUUGGGCCGUGUCCCUCGGAAUGGGAAUGCAACAAGGCUCUUCCUGCAGUUGUUCUGCCAAGGUCAAGCAGCCAGAGAUCCCCUUAUCUUUUAAUGCUGAGUUUUCCUUGAGGUUGGGCAGAGGAAGGAGGUUUUCUGGUAAAAGGAUGAAAUAAGAGAGAAAGCAGUUGUUUGCUCAGCUCUGAUGCUCAGCACUGCGUGAUGGGAGCAUCCCCUGCCAAAAUGAAAUAGCCUAGAAGACAAAGUCUUCCCCAAAGAGACAGUGAAACCUAAUCAAAAUUCAUCAGUGUAGACUUGCCCAGGAUGAACAGGACCAGAAUAUUAAGUUGCCAAAGGAGCAGAGGGAAACCUAUUUUCACUGGUUUUCUCUGUGUUACAAAACAGGCUGAGAAGAGUCAAUUGAUUUUUGUGUGGCUGGUAACAUUUACAUUUUGUAUGGGAUGGAAAGGAAGAACCAGGGUAUGUGGAAUGGCAGGCUGGAAGUAAUCUGCCCCUGAAAUACUAGUCAAUGCUUUACAAUGCCCCGGCCCUCCUAAAGGAGUUGUUGGUUGAGAAAUGGGGGAAAAUACAUUAAAAAAGGAAGCUUCCUACUAGCAAGGCCAUGCUGGAGUGUACAGAGCAAGCAAGCUCCGGGAUGUGCUGUGGAGGCGGUGCGCUGCCUGGUGCCCUGGUGUACUAAAAGAAACUGCUGAGGCUGCAUGGGUGAAAAUGGUAAUAACACUUGCAGCAGCCCCCCAGUGAAGCUUCUCACUGGCUCGA